UCACUUUGUUGUUGUUGUAUA
rnacentral:piRNA from 1 species